ACCAGACCAGAAGUCAGUCGGCGGAAUCGUAGUUGUUCUGGCCCGGGGCAUUCGGAACAAGCGCGCGAACUGUUGGUCUUUCUUUGGAUCAAUUCGGACUGCAAGCUUUGUGGAAAGAGUUUAUAACGGUUUUAACUUCUUACGAUGGCUAAUUAACUGUUGGUCUUGGAACAAUUCGGACUGCAAGCGUUGUGGAAGAGUUUAACGAGGCUGUACGGAAGAACCAAGCUGCUAGCAGCACAUCGGACAACGAGAUUAACCAGCACGCCAUCCGCUGGUUCAGCCUGGCCUCUGACCGUGGAGGUGGCCGCAAAGAACGUGCCAUGGCCAGAGAGGCCUUUCGUUAACCGUGAAAUGAACGCAUCGGCCAUCCCCCACUCUUCCACCACUGAUGAUUUGUUGGGUGUUAUGUGAGGGUUGUGGCAUUCCCACUUCACUUGCCUCAUCAAUGUUUCCCAGAAAGCCACCAGAACGCAUGUCAACACUGCGCUAAAAUUUGCCUGAUACAGACUGAAUGACUGACUGAGGGAAUGAAAGAGCGCUGUGUCAGAGGGAGGAGACUGAGAGAAACUCAAGGUUUAUUGAAGAAAACCUGAUCCCGACCAGAGACCUGUACUACAAAGCAAGAUUUGGCGUUAACGAGGUAACUUCAGGUUCAACCCAGGGUUUUGUG